AUGGGAGUUCCUUGUAUACCUAAGGCUUUCUGAAGUAAAUUUCAACUUCACCAAGUAACUUCCGAAAAGAGCUCCUAAUAAGUAUGACUUCUGAGCCAUAUCUAUAACCUGCCAGGAUUGUAUCUACAUCAGCAUUUUAGUACACUUCAGCCAUGCUCCUCUGAAGUAAAUCUUCCAGUUAUCACUUAUUGUGUUUUGGUUUAUGCUGCAAAGCAGAAAAUAUGCAAGAACUUACUUCCUUUUCGAAGAAAAGAAACUGAAUGGCUCCCUCCAGGAGCAAUCAUAAUACUCUCCAACCAGCAAGAGACAUUCAAUACACCAAUCUACUAGCUGCUAAUUGAAUUGGUUUGUCAGCAAAUCUACACUUACUGGACUGUAUCACUUAUCAGUGUAUAAAUAUGAUACAUCUUAUAUAUCAAUAUAGCUGCUGUGUAGCUUGUAUACAGACUUCUAGACUGCUGCUUUGCUGAAAAGCUGCUCUUGCACUAAAAUCAGGCAUGAUUACCAUGAGAUGGUACAUUCCGUGCUGAAAGAGGUGGGGGAAAAAAGUUUUGUAUAUAAUUAUAUUCUAGAUAAAUACUUUUAAAUAGUAUUUGAAUUAUUUUCUUCUAAUAAAGUGAACCAAUCUGAAAUACUACAUUUUGAGAACAAAAAAAAAAAAAAAUUCCCAUAAUUAUUUUUCAUUACUAAUCAACUAGAAGCUGACUAGGAAGAGAUGUAACAGACGUGUUUUCUUUUGCACCAAAUAAGGAUGUGAAAAUAGAAAUGGUUAGAGGGCAGGUAUUUCAAGCAGUCAACUGUCUUGCCAACUUCUGUUACUCACAAAGUAGGAAUUAGGGUGCUAAGAUGGUCACAGUCUGUUAUUUCUUUACCAGAUCUGUAAAUAUUUUUUGGUUCUUAUGUGCCUUCUGAUCUUGAACCUUCAGAUAACACUUUUUUUGCAUUUUAAGCUUUUAUUAGUUAGCAUGAGACAGGAGUCGUCUUAGGUCUUAUUUAUCAAAUGAAAGUGGAUAUCUUUAAUUCUAGGAUCUGCAAUUUCACAAAAUAGAAGCAAAUAAGAAAUUCAAGUAGUGCAAUCCUCAUUAUACAGUCACAAAGAGCAAUCAGACAGCAUGCUACAGCAGCCUAAGCAGGAAUUUCUACAAAACCUUUCAACACCCACUCAUUUCAUUCAAAAAUGAUAUUGCUUUAGAACCUUAUACCAGGUGUUCAUUAUCAGGCUAGAUUCUAAGAAAAGAACAGACUCCUGGGAAUCAAAAGCCAGAAUGCUGUCAACAGAAAAGCGCAGUAAAACUGUGUAUGUGUACAUAUCU
ensembl:lncRNA